AUUGAACGCUGGCGGCAUGCUUUACACAUGCAAGUCGAACGGCAGCGCGGGCUUCGGCCUGGCGGCGAGUGGCGAACGGGUGAGUAAUACAUCGGAACGUGCCCAGUAGUUGGGGAUAGCUCGGCGAAAGCCGGAUUAAUACCGCAUACGACCUGAUGGUGAAAGCGGGGGAUCUUCGGACCUCGCGCUAUUUGAGCGGCCGAUGGCAGAUUAGCUAGUUGGUGGGGUAAAGGCCUACCAAGGCGACGAUCUGUAGCUGGUCUGAGAGGACGACCAGCCACACUGGGACUGAGACACGGCCCAGACUCCUACGGGAGGCAGCAGUGGGGAAUUUUGGACAAUGGGCGAAAGCCUGAUCCAGCAAUGCCGCGUGUGUGAUGAAGGCCUUCGGGUUGUAAAGCACUUUUGGCGGGAACGAAAAGGACUGUGCCAAUACCACGGUUCGAUGACGGUACCCGCAGAAUAAGCACCGGCUAACUACGUG
rnacentral:rRNA from 1 species